AUUGAACGCUGGCGGAAUGCUAUACACAUGCAAGUCGAACGGCAGCACGGACUUCGGUCUGGUGGCGAGUGGCGAACGGGUGAGUAAUGUAUCGGAACGUGCCCAGUCGUGGGGGAUAACGUAGUGAAAAUUACGCUAAUACCGCAUACGAUCUAUGGAUGAAAGCGGGGGAUCGCAAGACCUUGCGCGAUUGGAGCGGCCGAUAUCAGAUUAGGUAGUUGGUGGGGUAAAGGCCCACCAAGCCAACGAUCUGUAGCUGGUCUGAGAGGACGACCAGCCACACUGGAACUGAGACACGGUCCAGACUCCUACGGGAGGCAGCGGUGGGGAAUUUUGGACAAUGGGCGAAAGCCUGAUCCAGCCAUUCCGCGUGCAGGAUGAAGGCCCUCGGGUUGUAAACUGCUUUUGUACAGAACGAAAAGGUUUCUACUAAUACUAGGAGCUCAUGACGGUACUGUAAGAAUAAGCACCGGCUAACUACGUGCCAGCAGCCGCCGUAA
rnacentral:rRNA from 1 species